AACGAACGCUGGCGGCAGGCUUAACACAUGCAAGUCGAGCGCCCCGCAAGGGGAGCGGCAGACGGGUGAGUAACGCGUGGGAACGUACCCUUUGCUACGGAAUAGCUCCGGGAAACUGGAAUUAAUACCGUAUGUGCCCUACGGGGGAAAGAUUUAUCGGCAAAGGAUCGGCCCGCGUUGGAUUAGCUAGUUGGUGGGGUAAUGGCCUACCAAGGCGACGUUCCAUAGCUGGUCUGAGAGGAUGAUCAGCCACAUUGGGACUGAGACACGGCCCACACUCCUAGAGGAGGCAGCAGUGGGGAAUAUUGGACAAUGGGCGCGAGCCUGGUCCCGCCAGGCCGCGUGAGUGAUGAAGGCCUUAGGGUUGAAAAGCCCUUUCACCGGAGACGAUAAUGACGGUAUCCGGAGAAGAAGCCCCGGCUAACUUCGUGCCAGCCGCCGCUGUAAUAC
rnacentral:rRNA from 1 species